rnacentral:rRNA from 1 species
UCGCUCCUACCGAUUGAGUGAUCCGGUGAAUAACUCGGACUGAUGCAUUUUUCAGCUUCUGGAAGUUGCAUCGGAAAGUUUAGUGAACCUUAUCACUUAGAGGAAGGAG